GGGAAUGUAGCUUAGUGGUAAAGUGCUUGCCUAGCAUGUAUGAAGCCCGGGGUUCAAUUCCUCAGUACCA
rnacentral:tRNA from 1 species